AAUUUCUCUUUUUCCUUUAGGGCAAAAUUUCUCAAAAAAAAAAAAAAAUUCUGAAUAGACCAAAUUCAAUUCUUCUACCACUCUCUCCUAAACCUCUCCAAUCAGGAUUUCCCUUACAGAUCCAGCCACAGGGCCUCAGAGAGUCACACGACCUCCCCUGAGCUAAAUCCCAGCACUAUUUCUCAGUCUUCCUUGGGCUGGACUCUUAACAGCAUUUGACACAGUUGAUCACCUGUCCCUGAAGCUUCUCAUUCCCUUGGCUUCAGAAACUGCACGCUCCUGGUUCUCCCUCUAGCCUGACCAGUAGCACCUUCCCAGUUCCUCCUUCUCUACCAGACUGCACAUGGGAGAGCACCAGAUUCGUCUCCCAAACUCCACACACACACACACACACACACACCAGAUUCAUCUCCCAAACUCCACACACACACACACACCAGAUUCAUCUCCCAAACUCCACACACACACACACACACACACGUUUGUCUCCCAAACUACACACACGCACACACACCAGAUUCAUCUCCCAAACUCCACACGCACCAGAUUCAUCUCCCAAACUCCACACACACACACACACACACACAUCAGAUUCGUCUCCCAAACUCCACACACACACAUGCACCAGAUUUG
rnacentral:lncRNA from 1 species